GACCCCAGGUCAGGCGGGAUCACCCGCUGAGUUUAAGCAUAUCAAUAAGCGGAGGAAAAGAAACUAACAAGGAUUCCCUUAGUAACGGCGAGCGAACCGGGAAGAGCCCAGCUUGAAAAUCGGACGUCUUCGGCGUUCGA
rnacentral:rRNA from 1 species